rnacentral:rRNA from 1 species
UACGUAGGGUGCAAGCGUUGUCCGGAAUUAUUGGGCGUAAAGAGCUCGUAGGCGGUCUGUUGCGUCGGCUGUGAAAACCCGAGGCUCAACCUCGGGCCUGCAGCCGAUACGGGCAGACUAGAGUUCGGCAGGGGAGACUGGAAUUCCUGGUGUAGCGGUGAAAUGCGCAGAUAUCAGGAGGAACACCGGUGGCGAAGGCGGGUCUCUGGACAGUUCCUGACGCUGAGGCACGAAGGCCAGGGGAGCAAACGGG